rnacentral:lncRNA from 1 species
AACUGGAAUUUAUCAUCCAAAGUGCUAUAAUUCCUUAUGCAGGGCUUCAAACUCAGGUGUAAAUGGUGUAUUAAACAUUUGGAAGUUGUCCAGGAAUACAGCCUCUCUCCCAUAUAUAACAAUGUUUAUGUAAAAAAGACAGCUUGGAAGGACACUUUUAAAUAAAGUUCUUCUUUCUAGGAAUUUAACCCCAGUGCUAUUUGUCAAUGCACAAUAAACCUGUAGCCUUUAGAAUAGCAAUGGGGAUGGGAGUUUGCGGGUGCCCUGAGG